rnacentral:rRNA from 1 species
GAAUUCGCCCUUAGAGUUUGAUCCUGGCUCAGGACGAACGCUGGCGGCGCGCCUAACACAUGCAAGUCGAACGAGCGAGAGAGAGCUUGCUUUCUCGAGCGAGUGGCGAACGGGUGAGUAACGCGUGAGGAACCUGCCUCAAAGAGGGGGACAACAGUUGGAAACGACUGCUAAUACCGCAUAAGCCCACGGCUCGGCAUCGAGCAGAGGGAAAAGGAGCAAUCCGCUUUGAGAUGGCCCCGCGUCCGAUUAGCUAGUUGGUGAGGUAAUGGCCCACCAAGGCGACGAUCGGUAGCCGGACUGAGAGGUUGAACGGCCACAUUGGGACUGAGACACGGCCCAGACUCCUACGGGAGGCAGCAGUGGGGAAUAUUGCACAAUGGGGGAAACCCUGAUGCAGCGACGCCGCGUGGAGGAAGAAGGUCUUCGGAUUGUAAACUCCUGUUGUUGGGGAAGAUAAUGACGGUACCCAACAAGGAAGUGACGGCUAACUACGUGCCAGCAGCCGCGGUAAAACGUAGGUCACAAGCGUUGUCCGGAAUUACUGGGUGUAAAGGGAGCGCAGGCGGGAAGACAAGUUGGAAGUGAAAUCUAUGGGCUCAACCCAUAAACUGCUUUCAAAACUGUUUUUCUUGAGUAGUGCAGAGGUAGGCGGAAUUCCCGGUGUAGCGGUGGAAUGCGUAGAUAUCGGGAGGAACACCAGUGGCGAAGGCGGCCUACUGGGCACCAACUGACGCUGAGGCUCGAAAGUGUGGGUAGCAAACAGGAUUAGAUACCCUGGUAGUCCACACCGUAAACGAUGAUUACUAGGUGUUGGAGGAUUGACCCCUUCAGUGCCGCAGUUAACACAAUAAGUAAUCCACCUGGGGAGUACGACCGCAAGGUUGAAACUCAAAGGAAUUGACGGGGGCCCGCACAAGCAGUGGAGUAUGUGGUUUAAUUCGACGCAACGCGAAGAACCUUACCAAGUCUUGACAUCCCUUGACGAUGCUGGAAACAGUAUUUCUCUUCGGAGCAAGGAGACAGGUGGUGCAUGGUUGUCGUCAGCUCGUGUCGUGAGAUGUUGGGUUAAGUCCCGCAACGAGCGCAACCCUUAUGGUCAGUUACUACGCAAGAGGACUCUGGCCAGACUGCCGUUGACAAAACGGAGGAAGGUGGGGAUGACGUCAAAUCAUCAUGCCCUUUAUGACUUGGGCUACACACGUACUACAAUGGCGUUAAACAAAGAGAAGCAAGACCGCGAGGUGGAGCAAAACUCAGAAACAACGUCCCAGUUCGGACUGCAGGCUGCAACUCGCCUGCACGAAGUCGGAAUUGCUAGUAAUCGUGGAUCAGCAUGCCACGGUGAAUACGUUCCCGGGCCUUGCACUCACCGCCCGUCA